rnacentral:lncRNA from 1 species
GGCCCCUCCCCUAGCCCGCCUUCCCACGCGGUCUCUGGGCUGGUUGAGCUGCGCCGCUGCAGGUAGUGCUGAGUUGCUCCAGUGCCACUGGGUUAGGGUCUCCACAACCGAGCUGGUCUCAGCAAGUGGUGUCCAUACAUGGGGCUCGAACCUGGGUUGAAGGGUCGCCAGAGCGACGGUUGGAGAACGUGGAACUAAGCUGGAGGACACCUGAGUACUCUUAAGCAAUCCCCGUGAUUGGAGAGGAUGAAGGCCCUGAGGUCCAAGAACAUGGAAACCUGACAGUGGACGCCAACAGCUGUGGAGAGAAGCCGGGCGACAGCUGUGGAGAGAAGCCGGGCGAUAUGCUCACGCUUCCGUGUGCCCAGCAAUCCUGCUUUAUCUUUUUAAAUAAAGGUGAUUCCUGAUAACA